rnacentral:rRNA from 1 species
UACGUGCCGUCCAAACGUUAUUCGGAAUUACUGGGCUUAAAGGGUACGUAGGCGGCGCUGUUAGUCGGGUGUGAAAUCCCUCGGCUCAACCGAGGAACCGCGCCCGAUACUGCAGUGCUUGAGGGAGACAGAGGUAAGCGGAACUGAUGGUGGAGCGGUGAAAUGCGUUGAUAUCAUCAGGAACACCGGUGGCGAAAGCGGCUUACUGGGUCUCUUCUGACGCUGAGGUACGAAAGCCAGGGGAGCGAAGGGG